rnacentral:lncRNA from 1 species
UUUUUUUCUCGUUAUUUUUUCUUCAUAUUAUUAUUAUUAUUUAUUUAUUUUCUCUUUUAAACUUUCAUUUCUCUCAUAUUUAUACUUCACAUUCAAAUUAGGUUAAAUAAGUUUUUUAUCCUUUUAAAUAUGAUCAAUUUUACUUUUAGUCCCUCUAAAAGUUUUCUUCAAAGAAUGGUCCUCCUAAUAUUUUUCAUCCACACUUUUGGUCUCUUCUGCUAACGGUCGUUAACAGGAAC